UACGUAGGGGGCAAGCGUUGUCCGGAAUCAUUGGGCGUAAAGAGCGUGUAGGCGGCUCGGUAAGUCCGCUGUGAAAGUCCAGGGCUCAACCCUGGAAUGCCGGUGGAAACUGUCGAGCUAGAGUCCGGAAGAGGCGAGUGGAAUUCCUGGUGUAGCGGUGAAAUGCGCAGAUAUCAGGAGGAACACCAAUAGCGAAGGCAGCUCGCUGGGACGGUACUGACGCUAAGGCGCGAAAGCGUGGGGAGCGAACAGG
rnacentral:rRNA from 1 species